AUGAUAAGAGUUGCAGAUCCACUAUUCCCUUGUUCUAAACUCUCAAAAGCAUGUGUUGUCGUGGCAGCAGCAAUGGAGGUCUCCAAGGCCCCUUCCUCUUCUGGUUUGGCAACCCACCAGCCCUCCAAAGGUUAUGCCAAUGCGGUUUGCUUCGAUGUGGAUUGCACUGUAUGCUUGGAUGAGGGUAUUGACGAGCUUGCUCGUUUCAGUGGGGUUGGGCAGGCGAGUACCGAGUGGACGACAAAGGCAAUGACAGGGACCGUUCUAUUUGAAGAGGCUCUUGCUGCCUGGAUCUCUUUAAUUAAGAUAUCUCUGUCCCAAGUUGAGGACUGUUUGGAGAAGAGGCCACCGCGGAUUUCUCCUGGAAAUGAUGAUUUUAUUAAUACACUAAAAGUCAAUAAUACUGAAGUAUUACUUGUAUCCGGAGGUUUCCGACAAAUGAUCAAGCAUUUGGCGUUUGGUCUUGGGAUUCCUACUGAAAACAUCAUAGCAAACCAAUUGUUAUUUGGAUCAUCUGAUUUUUGA
rnacentral:rRNA from 1 species